UAGGAUAGAAGGAAGAGAGCAUCUCGAUCACCGAUCGACUCCUCAAAAGCUCCCGGUCGGUCGGGAGAAUGGUUGCCUGACACAACCUCUUGGCCAAAUUGUGAUUGGCCAGGGCCGACGCUCCCUCGGGAACCCGAACGUCGGACGACACAACGCAGUCCGCCGACCUUGUGUCAUCCACCGGCACCAUCGGAGCCUUCCCCCAAUCAGUUGCCCAGGCC
rnacentral:lncRNA from 1 species